ensembl:lincRNA Gm28054 predicted gene 28054
NNNNNNNNNNNNNAAAAGAAAAAAAUCGUUUUUCCAACAUUUCCAUUAUUUAAAAUUUUAGUAUUUAAUAGGAUUGUUCUUAAUUCCUAAUGGCUUCCUCUAUUUAUUUCACUUAGCAUUUUAAUUAAUAAAAACAACGAUGUAAGUUACUGGGCCUACAAUUCUGUUAUCAGUAAGUUCAGAGUUGAGGUUCUGCAUAUUUUAGUUUUGAUGCUGACACAUUCAGUUCUGGAGCUGUAUUCAUCAUCAGUAAACAGCGUGUGCCAGGAAACUACUGGGGAAACUUCAGCGAAGGGAUCUAAAUGACUUACUUGAAGAAGUCACUUCUCCACUUUCUCACUUCUUUACAUGUCCUGUGUUUGCAACUUGACUCUUUUUUAAUAUGGUGUCACCCACUGGACUCAGUGUACUGAUGAUAUUCCUGCUGCUGUCAAAAACUCCCUGACCAAGGCCACUUAUAAAAGAAAGUGUUUAAUCGAGUUUACGGUUAUAGAGGAAAGCACAGAAUAUGCUUCACCUUUCCAAAAGGUGGCUCUGCCCAAGCCUGACAAAUACAGAAGAGGAGGCUCGCAGCCAACCAUUGGACGGUUCUGAUUUUUUAAAUACAUGUUCAUGGACAAAUACUCUCAUACAAACACCCCCUCCCUACUCCAUCCCCACAGAUACUCAUGUACAUUCACUAUACACAUUGAAAGAAUGAAUAAAUAAAUUCUCUUCCUGC